rnacentral:lncRNA from 1 species
CUACCGAGCUUCGGGCUGGCGUGCGGGGGUCGCUGGGGCUGGAUGCCUGGUGCAUCUUCCUUCGCGCCGGCCCGGGGCACCUUCGGAACGCGGAGCUUUGCGGCGGUCGCGGGGAGGCGAGGCCUGAGCUGGGAGGCCUGGCGUGCGCCCCGCCGGGAGGGAGGCUGCACCUUUUGUCCGAGUCACUGAGCCAUGUUUGCGGGCGGCGUUGUUGCCGAGGCGGCGGCGCGGGGCUGGGUGCGAUCAUCUGGGAAGACGCCGUCCCCUGCUCCGCCGGCGCGGUGGUAUCUCCCUUAAAGAAGCCCGCGCCUCAUUGUUCCUCUGCCGCUGGGAGUCGGGGCGCCCUACCGGGCGCGGGAGGGAGGGCGCGGGGGCGCCCGCACCUGGCUGCAGCGUCCGCGACUCCCGGCCUGGCGGGUUCCGAGAAGAGGGUCGAAUCCAGCUGGGACUGCGCGCCAGAAGGAGCCACGGUCUGAGCCCGGCUAGGCCGGGAUUGACAGCCAGGACGGCUGUCCUGGGGGCGAGCACUCAGUGGGCGCGUUGGCCGCCGGAGUCCUUCGGCUACCCCACAUCUGUCAAUCAGAUCCCGGCAUGCAUCGGCCUGACUGCCAGCCCCGGGCGGACGGUCACUCAGAGACCUGGACCAAUCGGCCAUCCAGUUAGUUACACACAUCAGUAAGCCUGAGAAAUGUCCACUCCUUCCCCGAUUCUCGUGCACCUAGGGUUUGUGAGGAAGGUGGGGGUUCUUGCUCCAGUACUGUCUAAGGCAUAAUGGACGGAAGAAUUCCUGUCUCAGCUCUCAGGAUCGACCAUUUUAUUUCUUGUCUUCCAAAUAUGGCCUUCUGAGUCUGAGACCAGGUUAGGUUUUUAUAUAAAUGAUCUCUCUCAAGCUAACCAAACCUCACAAGAGGGAGGCUUUAUUACUAACCCUAUUUUUACAGAGAAGGAAGCCAACCUAUGCCUCAUUUGACCAAAAGGAGUCAGUUUUGAACACCAGAUUCCCUGGUGUCACAACUCUCCCUGCCACCAAAAAAAAAAAAACCCAAAAAAACAAAAAAACCCAACAGCAACAAAAAACACAGAUGGUGAUCUGUUCCGAUUUUUGUACCCAGCACCAUUUUUAUACCUGUCUUCAUCUGUUUGCUGGAAAUACUGACACCAGCCAAAACUUGUUUCCUGCCCUGGAAAGUAGGGGAGAUUAUGGAUGGCUCUGUAGACAGCUGGUUAGAUACCAGUGUGGCUUUUUGAUGGGUCAGAUUGCUUGGUCCAAGUGACCUUUUCCUUUUGUCUGUCUCAGUCAUUAAAUAUAGGAGCCCCUCCUCUCAAGCUCUCUCAAGCUGGCUGCAGAACAGAUUUGAAAUCCCUGCCCCCACUAGAUAGGCUGACUCUAGAUGAGGUGGAUUUAAGUGUUGCUUAGCCUGAAACUUAAAUAAUUGGGGGCGUCCUCUUUAGGAAAAAGAUGACAAAGUGACUCUGAGAACACAUUGUUGGGACAUUUGAAAGGGUCCCUGCAAGUGAGGACUCUGAAGCUUAAGUUUUAUUAGCUUCAGGGUAAAUCUGUCCCUGCUUAUUAUGGUAUAUCAUUAUUUUGUUAUUUGUUUGCUUUCUUCUAAACAAGAAUUCCUGAGAACAAGACCCUUGUCUGUGAUUCAUCUCUGCAGCCUCCUCAAUUUGAUAUGGUAUAAAAAUACACCUGAGGCCAGCAUCUCACACCUUGCUGAUGGGAAGGCAAAAUGAUAGACUUUCUCAAAGAAAUUUGGCAAGAUACAGCCAUAUUACAUAUGUAUUUACCCUUUGACCCAGUAGGUCAGACCUUAGACUUCUUGAAACUUAUCCUAGCAAUAUAGGCUAAAAUACAGCAACACUGUGUGCAUUAAUGCUCACAUUUUUU